rnacentral:rRNA from 1 species
UGGGGAAUUUUGGACAAUGGGGGCAACCCUGAUCCAGCAAUGCCGCGUGUGUGAAGAAGGCCUUCGGGUUGUAAAGCACUUUUGUCCGGAAAGAAAUCGCCCUGGCUAAUAUCCGGGGUGGAUGACGGUACUGGAAGAAUAAGCACCGGCUAACUACGUGCCAGCAGCCGCGGUAAUACGUAGGGUGCGAGCGUUAAUCGGAAUUACUGGGCGUAAAGCGUGCGCAGGCGGUUGUGCAAGACAGAUGUGAAAUCCCCCGGGGCUUAACCUGGGAAUGGCAUUUGUGACUGCACGGCUAGAGUGUGUCAGAGGGGGGUAGAAUUCCACGUGUAGCAGUGAAAUGCGUAGAUAUGUGGAGGAACACCGAUGGCGAAGGCAGCCCCCUGGGAUAACACUGACGCUCAUGCACGAAAGCGUGGGGAGCAAACAGGAUUAGAUACCCUGGUAGUCCACGCCCUAAAGCGAUGUCAACUAGUUGUCGGGGUCUUAAUUGACUUGGUAAACCGCAGCUAAACGCGUGAAGUUUGACCGCCUGGGGAGUACGGUCGCAAGAUUAAAACUCAAAGGAAUUGNCGGGGGUCAUAGCUGGUUUCCU